rnacentral:rRNA from 1 species
UACAGAGGGUGCAAGCGUUAAUCGGAAUUACUGGGCGUAAAGCGUGCGUAGACGGUUAUGUAAGUCAGGUGUGAAAGCCCAGGGCUCAACCUUGGAAUUGCAUUUGAGACUGCAUAGCUAGGGUGCGGAAGAGGGAAGCGGAAUUUCCGGUGUAGCGGUGAAAUGCGUAGAUAUCGGAAGGAACACCAGUGGCGAACGCGGCUUCCUGGUCCAGCACCGACGUUCAGGCACGAAAGCGUGGGGAGCAAACAGG